rnacentral:rRNA from 1 species
AUGGGUCUCAAGGAGGAGUUUGAGGAGCACGCGGAGAAGGCCAAGACGCUGCCCGACACCACCACCAACGAGAGCAAGCUCUGCCUCUACGGCCUCUACAAGCAGGCCACCGUCGGCCCCGUCAACACCGCCCGCCCCGGCGGCCUCUUCGAUAUGGCUGGCAAGGCCAAGUGGGAUGCUUGGAAGGCCGUCGAAGCCAAAUCCAAGGAGGAGGCCAUGGCGGACUACAUCACCAAGGUGAAGCAGCUGCUGGAGGAGGCUGCCGCCGCAUCCGCUUAA